UACGUAGGGACCAAGCGUUGUUCGGAUUUACUGGGCGUAAAGGGCGCGCAGGCGGUUUGGCAAGUCGGAUGUGAAAACCCGAAGCUCAACUUCGGGCCUGCAUCCGAAACUGCCCGACUAGAGGUAGGUAGGGGAGAUCGGAAUUCCUGGUGUAGCGGUGAAAUGCGCAGAUAUCAGGAGGAACACCGGUGGCGAAGGCGGAUCUCUGGGCCUUACCUGACGCUCAGGUGCGAAAGCUAGGGGAGCGAACAGG
rnacentral:rRNA from 1 species